GACGAACGCUGGCGGCGUGCUUAACACAUGCAAGUCGAGCGGUAAGGCCCUUUCGGGGGUACACGAGCGGCGGACGGGUGAGUAACACGUGGGUGACCUGCCCUCAGCUCUGGGAUAAGCCUGGGAAACCGGGUCUAAUACUGGAUAUGACUCCAUGACGCAUGUUGUGGGGUGGAAAGCCUUGUGCGGCUGAGGAGUCGGGCCCGCGGCCUAUCAGCUUGUUGGGUGGGGUGUANGGCCUACCAAGGCGACGGACGGGUAGCCGGCCUGAGAGGGCGACCGGCCACAC
rnacentral:rRNA from 1 species